AGCCGAGCCGGUCUCCGCCCCCCGCGCCGCCCGCGCCCCCCGCCAAGCCGCGCCCUCCUGCGGGCGCCCGGGAGCCGGGCAGGCGGGUCUCUCCGGGCCCGCGACAGGAGAGGCCGGGCAAGCAGGUGGGUCACCUGCCAAGUCUCUGUACUGACAGGAAGCACCCUGAGUGCUGGACAGGGCUGAGACUGUGAAAAGGGAAGAAAUGCUGGCCCACGUGGGAAGAGGUGGUACAGAGGGAGAGCCUUAAUACCAGACAGGAUGGGAAACGGCACCUUCACCUCACCCUGGGCUGAGCUGCUCUAAACCUUGGGUCAGUCUCCAUCCUACCUCCAAGCCCAAGCGCCAGACUGCAGACUCCCUCGGAGCUGACCUUCCUUCCAUUCCAUCUUGUACUCUACAGCACCAGCAGAAUCCCCUGGAGUUCACAGCCUCUGUCCCACCGCGUGCUUCAGGCUCCCAAGGACCAGCCUGUCCUCUCUGGCAGAAAUCACUGACUCAAAAAGCUAUUCCAGGCACCGAGCCUCUCCAACCUGGCAGAGUAACACCAGCAGUCAGAAGUAUGGCUGGGACUCUAUAAGCCCCAGCAUCCUCCAUCAAGGCGCCGAGAGGCACCCACUUCAUGUGAAUGCCCAUUGAGCACCCAUUCCUCAGACUCCACCGCCUGGCAACCUGCACCCAGAACAGGCCAAGGAAAGUUGCAGUGGGCACUGGAAGGUUUAGGCGGGUCAGCCAUGGUCUUUGAGCUGGCUGGGGUAAAAGGCUUGGGCUGAUUUUUCACUCUAAGCCUUAGUUUCUUCAUUGACACAGUGGGAACGGAACAGUGACAUCAACCGAUUCAAACCUGAAGACUAUAAAGCCUGUGAGUCUUGAUUGCCACAGAUGUAAGAUUGGACAGAGGGCAAAUGGGCUCCCUAUCCCCAGACAAUCCCUACUUCUUUUGAUGUUAUUUUCACUUUGGGGGGGAUUUGUUUUGAGAUGGGGUCUCUUGUGGACCAGGCCAGUCUUGAACUCACAAUGUAGCUGAGGAUAACCUUGAACCUCUGAUCCUUCUACCUCCACUUCUUAAGUGUUGGGGACUUCAAGCACAUGCGUCCAUGCCACAUUAAUGAAGUGCCAGGGAAGCUGGACAGUGGUGGCACACACCCUUAAUACUCUGGAGGUAGAGAC